rnacentral:rRNA from 1 species
GAUGAACGCUGGCGGCGUGCCUAAUACAUGCAAGUCGAGCGAACAGAUGAGGAGCUUGCUCCUCUGACGUUAGCGGCGGACGGGUGAGUAACACGUGGAUAACCUACCUAUAAGACUGGGAUAACUUCGGGAAACCGGAGCUAAUACCGGAUAAUAUAUUGAACCGCAUGGUUCAAUAGUGAAAGACGGUUUUGCUGUCACUUAUAGAUGGAUCCGCGCCGCAUUAGCUAGUUGGUAAGGUAACGGCUUACCAAGGCAACGAUGCGUAGCCGACCUGAGAGGGGGAUCGGCCACACUGGAACUGAGACACGGUCCAGACUCCUACGGGAGGCAGCAGUAGGGAAUCUGCCGCAAUGGGCGAAAGCCUGACGGAGCAACGCCGCGUGAGUGAUGAAGGUCUUCGGAUCGUAAAACUCUGUUAUUAGGGAAGAACAAAUGUGUAAGUAACGAUGCACGUCUUGACGGUACCUAAUCAGAAAGCCACGGCUAACUACGU